rnacentral:misc_RNA from 1 species
UCUCCGUUGGUGAACCAGCGGAGGGAUCAUUACUGAGUUACCACUCUACAACCCUUUGUGAACAUACCUAACGGUUUCUUCGGCGGGCAGAGGUCCCGCGCGGAGCUCUCCCGGCAACGCCCACACGGGCGGAGCGCCCGCCGCAGGAUGCCAAACUCUAUUUUGACGACGUUUCUUCUGAGUGGCCCAAGCAAAUAAUUAAAACUUUUAACAACGGAUCUCUUGGUUCUG